rnacentral:tRNA from 1 species
GGGGUUGUGGCUCAGUGGUAGAGCGCUUGCAUCGCACGUGAGAGCACGUGAGAGACCCUGGGUUCGAUCCUCAGCACCACA